rnacentral:misc_RNA from 1 species
GAGAGAAUUCUAUUUACACAAUCAGAAGCUGAUGUUGCUGAGAAUAUCAGUGUUAAAAAAUCUAUCUUUAAAAAACAUCCAUACAUGUGUGUCAAGUCUGGACUCACAGACUGCCAUCUCUACCUGAUGAAAAAGUGGGUUGUGGAUUACCUAGUUGAAAAUGAGUCUUUAGCAUACAUAAGAACAGAAUUAGUUCCACACCUGGUCAGAAAACAAUUCAGCAAGACCAAGGUCAAGGACAGGCUCCCUCAAACAAACCAGUCUGUGAUAUCAGAGAAUCAGAAAAUGGACAUACUCAAGUUUUCUACUGAAGAUGAGUAUGCUGCGGAUAUUCGUGACUUGUCAUCAUGGAAUGAUCAUCAUGGAGACAUGGCAGACUGUUACCAUGGUGACAAAAUCCGUUGUUAUGGUUAUAUUCAAGAGGGAGGUUUGUGUUUAAGAACAAACACAGUCUCAUCCUACAGUGAAGCUAAUCGACAGAUACAGAAGAUAUUCACCCACACAGGGAUUGAGACCCCUCACCUUCACCCCUCCGUCGUCCUACAGAAAAAAUCACAGGUUGGUGCAGAUUGUGUGGUUGCCGAAGGAACGGAGAUUGGAGAAAAAGUGUCCAUAAAACGCUCAGUGAUUGGGCGAAAUUGUAAAAUCGGAGACCACGUACAAAUUGUUAACUCCACCUUGCUGGAUAAUGUGAUUGUUGAGGAUGGGUGUGAUAUAAAGGGAAGCAUCAUCAGCAGGAAGAGUGUCAUCCACCAAAAAUGUGAAAUCACCAACUGUCUGGUGGGGCCUGGUCAACAACUCAACACAAUGGGUAAAUACAAGGAUGAAAUGAUUGUUUAUACAGUGGACAUUUGAGGAAAAUACACUUUCAUUGUAAAACACAGGAUAAAUUGUUGUGCAUACAAAUAAAAUUGUAUUGAU